GGUGAGGUCUUUACCGGUGGAGCAUCUGUGGCAACACAUUGUUGGAAACACCUCACAGAGUAAAUAUGUGGUGCGCUUUACUCACAGGACUAUCCUCUAUGUCUGUGGUAAGUAACUGCAAGACACAA
ensembl:snoRNA